GUCACAUGAAACGAUUUUUGAUGGACCCAACAGUCCUGGCAGCAUUCAAAGAGGCCUGUGGCCAACAGCCGACAAACUUGGCACCACGAGGACAAACCAGAGAAAAUGCAGAGAGUGAGGAUGGCACUCUGAAUCUACAGGGGAUGGAUCCUGAGGCCAUACCUUACCAUGGCCUUAAAAGCAUAAUUUCCUCACUUGCAAAAGGUACAAGGUAUUUCUGGAAGGAUGAAAACCGCCUGCCCUGGUGGC